rnacentral:rRNA from 1 species
UACGAAGGGGGCUAGCGUUGCUCGGAAUCACUGGGCGUAAAGCGCACGUAGGCGGAUUGUUAAGUCAGGGGUGAAAUCCUGGAGCUCAACUCCAGAACUGCCUUUGAUACUGGCGAUCUUGAGUCCGGGAGAGGUGAGUGGAACUGCGAGUGUAGAGGUGAAAUUCGUAGAUAUUCGCAAGAACACCAGUGGCGAAGGCGGCUCACUGGCUCGAUACUGACGCUGAGGUGCGAAAGCGUGGGGAGCAAACAGG